UACGUAGGUGGCGAGCGUUGUCCGGAUUUGCUGGGCGUAAAGGGAGCGUAGGCGGACUUUUAAGUGAGAUGUGAAAUACCCGAGCUCAACUUGGGUGCUGCAUUUCAAACUGGAAGUCUAGAGUGCAGGAGAGGAGAAUGGAAUUCCUAGUGUAGCGGUGAAAUGCGUAGAGAUUAGGAAGAACACCAGUGGCGAAGGCGAUUCUCUGGACUGUAACUGACGCUGAGGCUCGAAAGCGUGGGGAGCAAACAGGAUUAGA
rnacentral:rRNA from 1 species